rnacentral:rRNA from 1 species
GAGUAAUGUCUGGGAAACUGCCUGAUGGAGGGGGAUAACUACUGGAAACGGUGGCUAAUACCGCAUAACGUCGCAAGACCAAAGAGGGGGACCUUCGGGCCUCUUGCCAUCAGAUGUGCCCAGAUGGGAUUAGCUUGUUGGUGAGGUAACGGCUCACCAAGGCGACGAUCCCUAGCUGGUCUGAGAGGAUGACCAGCCACACUGGAACUGAGACACGGUCCAGACUCCUACGGGAGGCAGCAGUGGGGAAUAUUGCACAAUGGGCGCAAGCCUGAUGCAGCCAUGCCGCGUGUAUGAAGAAGGCCUUCGGGUUGUAAAGUACUUUCAGCGGGGAGGAAGGUGUUGUGGUUAAUAACCGCAGCAAUUGACGUUACCCGCAGAAGAAGCACCGGCUAACUCCGUGCCAGCAGCCGCGGUAAUACGGAGGGUGCAAGCGUUAAUCGGAAUUACUGGGCGUAAAGCGCACGCAGGCGGUCUGUCAAGUCGGAUGUGAAAUCCCCGGGCUCAACCUGGGAACUGCAUUCGAAACUGGCAGGCUUGAGUCUUGUAGAGGGGGGUAGAAUUCCAGGUGUAGCGGUGAAAUGCGUAGAGAUCUGGAGGAAUACCGGUGGCGAAGGCGGCCCCCUGGACAAAGACUGACGCUCAGGUGCGAAAGCGUGGGGAGCAAACAGGAUU